rnacentral:rRNA from 1 species
UUUCCGGUUGAUCCUGCCGGACCUGACUGCUAUCGGAUUGAUACUAAGCCAUGCGAGUCAUUGCAGUAAUGCAAGGCAGACGGCUCAGUAACGCGUAGUCAACCUACCCUAUGGACGGGAAUAACCUCGGGAAACUGAGUAUAAUGCCCGAUAGGACACUAUUCCUGGAAUGGUUUGUGUUCCAAAUGAUUUAUCGCCGUAGGAUGGGACUGCGGCCUAUCAGUUUGUUGGUGAGGUAAUGGCCCACCAAGACUAUUACAGGUACGGGCUCUGAGAGGAGUAGCCCGGAGAUGGGUACUGAGACACGGACCCAGGCCCUAUGGGGCGCAGCAGGCGAGAAAACUUUGCAAUGUGCGAAAGCACGACAAGGUUAAUCCGAGUGGUUUGUGCUAAACGAACCUUUUGACAGUCCUAGAAACACUGUUGAAUAAGGGGUGGGCAAGUUCUGGUGUCAGCCGCCGCGGUAAAACCAGCACCUCAAGUGGUCAGGAUGAUUAUUGGGCCUAAAGCAUCCGUAGCCGGCUCUGUAAGUUUUCGGUUAAAUCUGUACGCUCAACGUACAGGCUGCCGGGAAUACUGCAGAGCUAGGGAGUGGGAGAGGUAGACGGUACUCGGUAGGAAGGGGUAAAAUCCUUUGAUCUAUUGAUGACCACCUGUGGCGAAGGCGGUCUACCAGAACACGUCCGACGGUGAGGGAUGAAAGCUGGGGGAGCAAACCGGAUUAGAUACCCGGGUAGUCCCAGCUGUAAACUAUGCAAACUCAGUGAUGCAUUGGCUUGUGGCCAAUGCAGUGCUGCAGGGAAGCCGUUAAGUUUGCCGCCUGGGAAGUACGUACGCAAGUAUGAAACUUAAAGGAAUUGGCGGGGGAGCACCACAAGGGGUGAAGCCUGCGGUUCAAUUGGAGUCAACGCCGGAA